UUGAACGCUGGCGGCAGGCCUAACCCAUGCCAGUCGAACGGUAACAGGAAGCAGCUUGCUGCUUUGCUGACGAGUGGCGGACGGGUGAGUAAUGUCUGGGAAACUGCCCGAUGGAGGGGGAUAACUACUGGAAACGGUAGCUAAUACCGCAUAACGUCGCAAGACCAAAGAGGGGGACCUUAGGGCCUCUUGCCAUCGGAUGUGCCCAGAUGGGAUUAGCUAGUAGGUGGGGUAACGGCUCACCUAGGCGACGAUCCCUAGCUGGUCUGAGAGGAUGACCAGCCACACUGGAACUGAGACACGGUCCAGACUCCUACGGGAGGCAGCAGUGGGGAAUAUUGCACAAUGGGCGCAAGCCUGAUGCAGCCAUGCCGCGUGUAUGAAGAAGGCCUUCGGGUUGUAAAGUACUUUCAGCGGGGAGGAAGGGAGUAAAGUUAAUACCUUUGCUCAUUGACGUUACCCGCAGAAGAAGCACCGGCUAACUCCGUG
rnacentral:rRNA from 1 species